UGCAAGUUUUGGGUAAUUGAGCACAGCUUAUGUUGUGUUAGGAAGGUCCAUGCUCGCACAGGCUGCGAUGCCUGUAGUGUUUGUGCUCGCUGAAAAAAUAAGGCGGGGCACCAUUUUAUGGUGACGGCGGAAAAACGGACUAAGGUUUUAACUAUGUCUUAGUAUUCCUGAAAAGUGCCACAGUGACGAUACAAUAUUGGAAACGAUAUUGGUGGAACGCGGUAAACCCCUCAAGCGGUAAACCCAAACUACGGUAGGGGAGCUUUGGAUAGCAAAUUGAAGUGAUUCCAGGGGAGAGUAUUUCGAUACUCUGAGAUAGAUGAUUACCUCGAUAUAAUUAUGCCUGAUAAUUAUAUUACGACAAAACAUGGCCUACAGAUACUUGCAUACA
rnacentral:RNase_P_RNA from 1 species